CGUGGGUAACCUGCCCAAGAAAUCGGGAUAACACCUGGAAACAGAUGCUAAUACCGGAUAAUAACAGAUGAUGCCUAUCAACUGUUUAAAAGAUGGUUCUGCCAUCACUCUUGGAUGGACCUGCGGUGCAUUAGCUAGUUGGUAGGGUAACGGCCUACCAAGGCGAUGAUGCAUAGCCGAGUUGAGAGACUGAUCGGCCACAUUGGGACUGAGACACGGCCCAAACUCCUACGGGAGGCAGCAGCC
rnacentral:rRNA from 1 species